CAACAGGUGCAAGGGAGGAGCAACCAGCUUGUGUAGCGGGAAGAAAUAAAGAGAAGGAAGGUUGGAGGGAAAACAGUGAUGGAAGGAUGGAAAAAGCCUUAAGAGUGUAGGUGAUGGCUACAGCAUUAUGUUUAUCUACAUUACCUGAAGAACUGGCUAAGUAAUCUUUUCACUGGUGCACUAAGGAAACAUGGUCUUAUUCAACCUGAAAAAUAGUAAGUAUGAAACUACAUAACAGCCAAACAUAUUGUGCAUUAAAAAGCAGUUUGAUUCACUGUUUAAAAAAGAAAAGCAAAGAAAAAGAAUGUUGAUCUGCCAGCCAGUGCACAUGAACUAACCCUUGGGCCUUUCUUGACCAUUAUGGGCUGGAAAAAUAACAAAUCAAGGCCAUGGUACACAGAAAGCCGUUCAUGGAAGUCCGUAAAGUAAUUGGAGCUUGGGAUCUGGAAUUUUUGGACCACAGAGUGAAUAAUGAAAACUUAUGGGUGAUGAAGAUCAGAUGGGUCUCACUGUGGCUGACAGAAGAUGGCACACACUUCAUGAACAGAAAUCCAUCCAUACUGUCUUCAGUUCUCUUCUAGCUUGUGGCAGAUGGGUGUCAGCAUAUUUUCUUAGGUUUUUAUUUUAUAGAGUGGUAAGUAGAUUGGAAGCUGGAUACUAAAUUCCAAUACAUUACUCGAGAAAUUCCAUCAUUAAUAUUUUGUAUUAAAAAUACUAAAGCUACCAAUAUUGUCUUAAGUUUCUCUGUGUUUUAAAUGAACCCAUAGAGAUCUGAGCUUUGUUUACUAUUCUCCUUUUCUUUUUUUUCUUUCUCUGUCUAUUUAAUUUUUUAUUGCUCUUUGUGCAUGAACUUAAGGUCUAACUAAACAUUUAUUCACAGAUAGGGACUUGUGCAUGUCAUUUUUAACACAUAUCAUUGUGCAGGCACUGUGAAGAAAAGUAGUCCCACUCCUUACAUUAUUUAUGGCUUUGGCAUGCAGAAAGGUGAGACACAUUAAAUGGUUCAACAACUGUCUUCUAUUUAAUUGUAUCAUCAAGAAGAGUCUGUUCUUUCCCAUACUUUCCAUUCCCUGGUUCUCUGGCUUCCUUCUGGCUUUCUUUGAUCUGUAAAGACACAUUCCUGUCUUACUGAAAUAAUUGUAUCUUCAGCAGGGAUAGUAGGUGAUUUGAAUCAGAUGAAAAAAAAACAACAAACAAACUUGAUCUGUACACAAUCCUAAAGCUCAAGCUGAACCAGAGUGCAAUAGCUCCAACUGACACCAGUGGCUCUUUGACAUUCAAGAUCAAUGCAGUGAAGAAGUUAUUACAUACCUAAAUUACAUGGAUGUCAUUGUUACUUAAGCACAUUUGAAAGUAUAAGCAUACACAAAGCAGUUUAUUAAAUUUCCUGCAGAUCUGGGACCUAAGAGUAAAAUCAGCCAUGAAAAUGUACUGUGGAUGAAUUACAGUUCUCAUGGCUUGGGGUUAGGGCAGCAGACACAGUGAAAGCACUAAAAAUCUCUCCUGGUACUUUUGUUACUAGGGCCACAAUCCUUAAAAAAACAUACAGGAACAAAACAAGGAGGGUUUUCUGUUUGUUUGGGUUUUUUGUGUGUGUGUGUGUGUUUUUUGUUUGUUUGUUUGUGUUUUUGUUUGUUUGUUUUGUUUUGUUUUUGUUCUUUUGUUUUUUUUUUUUUUCCUAAUGAAAGAGCAGUGUCUGUCAUAGACGUCCUCACAGCAGGACACAAGGAGUAAGCUGACAGUGAUUUGGUGGUUCUGGCUCCCCAGCGGCUGAUGUAUGAUUGUCAAAACUGCUCCAAACACCAGAUGUGCUGGCAGACACCUGCUUGCUGAACCCCUGGGUGUCUGACCAACUGCCCAACCACCCCAGGGAACAUGUCCAAAGUCUGCUAACUCCCAGCUGCACUUAGGCUUGUGGUCCCACCUGUCCUCAGGGCCUGCCCUGCCACACUGCAUCUGGCAUUGUAGACACACUGGUUCCCAGCAGGAGGACCAGGUCUUCAGGAGCCUAAGGACUAAUCUUGGCCAGAAAAGGAGAAGAUGGGGUAUAUAUCAAAUGUUAAACCUCCAGUUUUGUGAUAGACUUCUUGUUUACUUUUCUUAGGCUGGAUCUUAAUGGCUAGUGAAAGUCAUUGUAGUGCCCUGCAAUUCAGUAAAGCUCCAUUCUGCCUAUCCUACUGUAUUUAACUGUACAUCUUACUUUGUUUCAGAAGAACAGAUGUAUGUACUGCUAAAUAUUUUUCUUUCCAUCAGCCAAAAGCCAAGGCUUUAGCUAAAUAAGCUCAUCAGUGUGUAGGAUGCUUUUUUUUAUGAAAGAGAAUGAGUCAGAGUACAGGUAAUAUAACAUAAAAAUUGUUUGAAUAGAAAAAAGUGUGAUUUCAUAUUGCUUCAUUCAACAAUUUUUUUUAAGUGUUUGUGUUUAUAAAAUCUGUUAACCAAUCUGACACUCAUAGCAAUAAUUUAACAACAAUUACAGUAACGAUAAUAACUAUAAUCAUUGUAGUAUGAAAUUAACAGAAGGGAAAAAGGUUGUGCUAACAAGAAUCACAGGUAUAGACAACCACCAGAGCACAUAAUUUAAAAAAUCACUGAAGAAUUUAUUGUAACACUAUGCUUGGAUCAAUAACACAAAUUGUUUGGUACUCACACAGGUGAAAAGAAUGCAAACAGUUAAUACCAUUGCUUAAAAUAAUUGAUCAGCUAGUUAAAACCAAAAGUGUCAAAUAAUUUUAAAACCUGAAAUGUGCCUUUGUGUCAUGGGUCAUUUGAACUUGUAAUGAGUCACUACAAUUGGAAGCAGUUCUUCAGCUGGUUUAAAUAAAUACAGCUCCAUUGAAGUCAAUGGCAUCAUGCCAUUUUAUGUCUAGGUUUAAUUACCUUCAGUAUGGAUAGUGAAACCUAGAAGACACCAUUAAAUGGGUGUUUCACUUCAUCUUUGCUGGCAUCUGCUGUCUAGGUAUUGUUUGACUUAGUGAUCAGAAUCACACAAUGUUAAGGAUUGGAAAGCACCUUGAAAGAUCAUCUAGUCCAAUCCCCCUGACAGAGAAGGAACACCUAGAAAAUUCAGAAAGUCCUCUGAAAUCAGGAAAAAAAUGAAAAGUGGUUGCAAGACAGCAAAAAUAAUAGAAGUAGCGUAACUGAGAGAGACAGCACACUUAAGGUGAGAAUUUCACAGGCAUCUUGUUAUAUCUACUUACCAUAAACAGCAGUGUGAUUUCAAGCAACAUACAGCUUUUGGGGUGGCCGCAAGAGUAAGAACAGCCAGGUGUCUGAACUCCAGGCUUGGACAUGGUGUGACAGAGGUUAGGACUGGAUGGACUUUGACAAGUCACUGCGAACCCUGCCACAUGGCAGGCCAGUCUGGGGAGAUGCUAUCUGUCUUUUCUCACCUUUUUUUUUGUGGGUGGGAUAGAGUUUGGCAGCACUUGGCCUGAGGAUGUAGCUGUGUCUGGGGCUCAGGCAGAAGGGGAAAGCAGCACCUGCCAUUUAAACAGCUGUGAAAAUUAAACACCUUCUAAGGUUCAGCAGCAUCUGAGCAGUGGCCUGUGGGUUUAAAACCUGGGGUUUUUUUCUGAAGUGCUAGCAGGGUGUGUUAAGUCUUUUUGUGAAUCUUGUCCCAAAGAUCUUUGAAAAUCCUACAGAGUGCCUAACUCACUUCAGCAACAUCGUAUUUAGGUUUAGUUUGCAGAUUUGAUAUCCACGUAAUAAAAAAUAAAUGCCUUAGGGGAAGAUCAUUUAAGAACCAGUUCAAUAUGUUCAUGUACAUUCUUUGUGCAAGAGUGAUAUUCAUCCAAAAUAAUGAAGUGUUUUAUUUUAAAAGAACACACAUACUUAAAUGUCUUACACAAAUUAAGUAUUUUCAUCUACUGACUGUUACAUAUCUUUAAUAUAAGUAUUGAUAAGGCAAAAUUGGGGAAAAAACAUUAAACUUAAAUAACAAGGGAUUCAAGACCAGUGAUUAGGACAACUGAUUUUUUACAAAUUUUCACAAUGAAUGGUGUUGCAAAUUAUCAUCAGUUAUAUCAGCUACAAAUCAGAACCUAUGUGUUUCAGUAAUUUCCAUGAAUUUAGGGUUUCUUAAAUUCCUAUAUAAAUAUAAUCAUGUGUCAUUCAAUCUUGAAUAGCUUUGUCAAGAAGAGCUCCUAUUAGCCGGGUUCCCCUUCUGCAGGAAAUCUGUCACAGUGGGAGGUGAAUUAGAUCCAAUAUGAAAGGGUCUUCCUUCUGUUAAAGAAAACAUCAAACUCUCAUCGUUUUUCUGUGAUAUGGAAGACAGAAGAGACAGUUAAUGGUAAUUUUGCAUCAGAAGAGACUAACCUACAUAUGCCUUACCAAGGUAGCAAAAUAAAGCUGUAAUAGAUUCUUUACAGUAAUCAUGUUAGUUUUGUAAAAAUAGCAACAAAAAUAUCAUUAAUAGUAUCACAACAGAGCCAAAAGCCUUAUUCUUUCAAACAUCUUGGGUCCAAAUGUUUAGCAGAAGAAUGUUUCUCUUUUUAACAGCUUUCAUAAGCUGAUCAACAAAGACUAGAAUGGGAAACAAAGGUAAAAUGAGUUUUUAAUGAUUACAAAACAAAUCAGUGACACAAGCCAGGAAUAAGACAGUCUUCCGGCUCACAGACUUUCUUUUCAUGUUAUCCCUCAUAAUAAUAGUGUAAAAUGAAGAAAAUGAACUAGUAGAAUGAAAAUUAAGAUAGUAUUUGUAGGAUCAGCAUUAGCAAAUAAGGCUAAUAUUUGUCUAAUAUUAGCUACUUAUUCGAUAUGCAAAGAAAAUUCUUUUCACCUGUUUAGUGUUAGAAUUUUGAUUCUGCGUUAUUGAAAGUGUUGAAAAUAAGGCUAUGCUAUUUGUAGGAUUCUAAACUCUGGUGUCCGUAUCUUACUGUUUUAUUAGCAGAAUGUACUGGUAAAUGAAGGAGAAAAUAAACAGCAGCAACAAAAGAAUAAGUAUAUUGUAGAUAUAGGGAGAAGCAAAUUGUUCUAUAAACACUCAACCUAAAGAUUUGUGAUUUCCUAUUGACUUGUAUUCUUUGAAGUUUCUGUACUGACAUUGAACUAUUCCAAAUCCCAUUAUGUUCCUAUAUUAUCUUCUUCCACUCCCCUCCAGGCUCAUCUAAAGUUAUGCAUCAGCUGGUUGGUGGCAAAUAAAACAUCUG